GGCGAAGUGCCAGAGUGGUUAAUGGGAUUGACUCGAAUUACCACCGAUAUCAAUUGGCUUCGGCCGCGCAAGUUCGAAUCUUGUCUUCGUCG
rfam:Colletotrichum gloeosporioides Cg-14 contig02479, whole genome shotgun sequence.